AUACUCGGGAGUGAAAUUUGAAAGCAUUUAAAUAAUAUGCACUGCCAGAUCAGCAGAUUCUGUUUCAUGCUAGCAUUGGCUUCAAUAGAAUUUUUUAAUUUUUAAUUUUUAAUUUUAAAAUACACUUAAAACACUACACCAGCAUCACAUUAUUCGUUUUUUUAACCAAUUCAUGUGUCUGGGUCUAGAGAUGUUCCUGUGGGAAAUGCUACAAACUAUUUUUAUACAGGGUUUUUGAUAUUAUAAGGCACCUCUAUUCCCUGGAUAAGAUCAUAUCCAAACAUGGAAUGGGAACGAACAUAGAGAAGUGCUGACGCAUGUUUUAUUAAAAUGAUGCGCUUGAUCCAAUAAUGUGGGUCUAUGAAGAUGAAAUACUGAUGCAGCUGCUCAGGGUAUUGCUAUUUGCCAGGAUGUGCUGUGACAUUUACUGUCGAGUUGGGUUUAAUGUGCCCACAGUAUUCCACCCCAGUGCUCCUUCAGCUCUGACUAUUGCUGCACAGUUCACUUUAGAAGGUUUAUCGAACAGAUGAAGUGUCAUUAGGAGGAGGGAGGGAUGCCAUUUAUAGUAUCAACAAUCAGUAUUCCACCCCAGUGCUCCUUCAGCUCUGACUAUUGCUGCACAGUUCACUUGAGAAGGUUUAUCGAACAGAUGAAGUGUCAUUAGGAGGAGGGAGGGAUGCCAUUUAUAGUAUCAACAAUCAGUAUUCCACCCCAGUGCUCCUUCAGCUCUGACUAUUGCUGCACAGUUCACUUCAGAAGGUUUAUUGAACAGAUGAAGUGUCAUUAGGAGGAGGAAGGGGUGCCAUUUAUAGUAUCAACAAUCGGGGUGUGCUCGGACAUUUACUGCAGAGUUGGGUUUGAUGUGCCUUCAAUAGUCAACUCCAGUGCUCUUCUAGCUCGUAUUGUAGUACAGCUCUCCUUCAAAGAUGUAUUGAAGAUUUAUUCAAAAGUAAGUAAAUCUUUACUUGAAACAGCCAAUUUUUUAAUAAUAAUAAGUAAUUGUGAUGCUUGAACCUGACAUCCAGCGGCUGAUUUUUAGAUUAAAUCUGAGUUUUUGAUCUCUUGUGGAAAUUGAAAAUAUAUAUAUAUAUUGUGUGUGUGUAUGUGUGUGUGUGUGUGUGUGUGUGUGUGUGUGUGUGAGAGAGAGUAAGGAAUAAACUGGGGUGAGCCCUGUGGUUCUCAUCAUAUGCACACAUCUGGGAUGAAGUUCCCAUCCCAACCAGAAGUCUGAUUGUACUGUAUUUGCUUAUCAAUAGACCAGAAAUUAAAUGUCUGUAGUCUCACAAAUCAUGUGCCAUGCACAUUUGUUGUAAAAUUUGGAACUGUGUUUGAAUAAGUAGGAAGAAGAGCUCUGAUGAUUUACUUGGUAUAAUAAUGUUACAGUAUAUACACACGGUUAUUUGACCACAGUCGAGUAUUCAUCGAACCCAUGAUAUAAGCAAAGGUAAAUGCACAGCGAUGCAGUAACUUGCCCCAAAGGGGUGAUUCUUCCCGAGGGGAACAGGAGGGUGCUUAUUGAAGCGCCUCACUCGCUGUACUUGCUUGCUUACAAACAUGUCUACUUGCCAACAAAAUUAACUAUCUGCCACAAAAUCAUAUAUAUAUCUAUGCAAUAGGAUUCCCUGGUGGAGCAGCCUUUUGGAACCUUUGCUUCUGAGAGUGCAGUAUAUCAUUUUAGGAAUAUAAUUCCAUUGAGAAUCCAUAGCAAUUUUAGUUUUUUUCUGUAAAAGUAUUUCAUUUGAAAUUUGUAAUCAGAUUUGCAGUGGUAUGAUAUUGAAGUUAACAAACAUUUUAAGUGGGUAUUCAGAAUGUGAUUAUUGAGGUCAAUUAGGGCUAGGUGAUUUUGGUCUUUCAGUCAUUUACUCCUUUAGUAUACCAUUCGUGCCGGUACUGUCAUAGAAUAAAAGCAUACCACAGAUGGCUAUAAAAUUGCUAUGACAUGUGAGCUGACUAAAUUAAGUAUUUAGCUUUUCCUGUUGUGUUCUUUGGACCACUAAUGUUAAUACACUAGUCUGUGGUUGUCUGGCAUAGUAUCAGACGUAAUAAAAAUCAAAAGAAAUCAAUGGAAAAAUUGAAUGCAUUGCUCAUGUUGAAAUGGACCUUUUUUCUCAGUUAAUUCAUGCUAGCAGCAGUGUAACAGAGACCCAAACCUCAGUGAACCUGGGGUAUGAUGCCAUACUGUCAGUUGCUCACACAGUUACACAUCAGUGGUCUAUUGAGUUUGCAAAAGAGACCAAAGAUAAAAGUCACUAAAAACGAGAUAGAUUGUCUGGAAAGUCAGAAUAGACAGAGUAAGUGUUCUAAUGAGAUCCCAAACAAGUUCUUUGAGUGAAAAAUACCAGAAAUGCGGAAUAGAUGCUCAACUUUAUUGAUUUACAGCUUAAAUGAGAACAUUUCACAAGACAUUUCACAUAUUGUAUGAGUGCUUGUUACUGCGUCUCAUCUGGGUUUCUUUCCUUAUUCUGCUUCUUUCACCUAAAAAAAAAAAAAAGAACAGUGCAUUUAGAACCUCAUAGUCAUCAUUUACAGACCCAGUUCAUUGGCAGUAGUUUUCAUACAGUAGGCUAUAUGGGUUUAAAUUAACCGAUUUUGAGUGGUAACCUACCUUGCCGACGUCACGGCUCUUGGCUCUCAGCUUGUUGACCUGGGACUCAGCGAUGUCGGCACGCUCCUGAGCUUCCUCCAUCUCAUGCUGCACCUUCCUGUACCUGGACAGGUGGGUGUUGGCUUGUUCCUCCUGUGAGUGAGCAAGACAUUUCACCAGUCAAAGUAUUGCAGAGUAAAUGUUUUCAUACAGCUGUCAGGUUUAGGUUAGGUCAAUUUUUUUACCUUUUUAAUUUAAUUGUCAAUCAUGCUACUAUUUUUCUGCUUUUAGUCUUGUGUACUUGUUGAACAGAUCACAUUAGCUUUCAGCAAGUAGCAAGGUUUAGAGCUACCAAUAAAACCCCCAACCAAACUAAGCAAAACAAGAUGGGACAGUUCAUAUUUUUCUAUGUGGUGCCUUAUCUACUACCUCAAUCAUUAUGCUGCUGUGGAGUGACAGUUUAGGGAGUUGUGUGACAAAGGUUUAUGGGCACAGCUCAUGAUAAUUGUGGAAUGAGGCAAAAGCCUUGUGGAAAUGAUCCCCUGGAUCUCGAGAGUAGAAAAAUCAGAGCGUGUGAAAGGAACAAUAAGAUUGAACAGCUAAUACUGAAUUCCAAACAUUGGUUCCUUGCACACAGUGCAGGAAAAAUAAUAAAUUGCCAAUGAAUCAGAAAUAACUGAACUACAUGUUCUCAACCCCUGCACUAAAAAUAGAACAUGUUUCAUCCAGCCAGUCUUGGAUGCUGUUAUAGCAUUGGCCCCAAGCAAGUUUGCACAUUUGACUUGACAAAACUCCCACUAGACUCAAUUGAAGGAUGUGAUAACUGUUCUUCCAAACACUUCACUUACAAACAUUAUUUCAGUUACAAAUGAUUUUUUUCUCUUGUAAUGAGACCUAAGGUAAGAUUCGCAAGUGCACCGCAGUGAAAGCAGUGCAGUGACCUUAUGCAUUAAUAAUUCAGGUUAGCAGUGCAAGUCCAACAUAGAUGCAGCAAUCUGAGAGCCUAUAUUUUACUAGUUGGUCAACAAAACAUUUUGUUAAGGUAGCUGGCUGCUUAACAGAUGCUAUCUGCAUCCCAUCUCAUGUCCCAUGUCUGUUCCCUCUGAUAUUUCUAAAAUAUAAGCUUUCAUCCCAUCUCAAAAAUACAUUCCCUCUGGUAUUGGAUAUUGAGCAUUUGACUUACGGAUUCCUCAGCCUGCCUCUUGUAGGACUUCACUUUGAGCUGCAGUUUGUCCACCAGGUCCUGCAGUCUGUGGACAUUCUUCUUGUCCUCCUCAGUCUGCAGAGGGUAAAGCAGGUUCAGAAGAGGUAGCAUGCCUGGUUGUUGUUUUGUCCACUGUUUUAGGUUAAGAUGUAUGAAACCAUACCUGGUAGGUGAGCUCCUUGACUCUCCUCUCAUAUUUACGGACACCUUUGACGGCUUCGGCUCCACGUCUCUGUUCAGCCUCAACUUCAGAUUCUAGCUCGCGCACCUUGAAUCCAAAAAUGUCAAAAUAAAUGUGUAACUAUAACUAUGUACAGAAUAGCCAGAACAUACUUGUGUUUUAAUCAUAUAUGCCACAUUGCAUUGGAUUUAAAAAAUGUUUUUAGUACACACAGGAGAUAACUGCAUUAUUGUCAUCUGACAAGUACAUUUUAAAAUAGGUACUUAUCUCUAUUUUCUAAAUCUGUAGGCUUAAAGCUUUUGACCUGAAGUAAUUCAUAAUUGCAUGUGAAUUAUGUUGUGUAACUUUGAUUCUCUUAAUGCUGUGCUUGCAAUUUCCAAAGUGAGCACUUUGAUUUGGAUGACUGAAGUUGCCGCUGGUAACUUACCCUUGCUUCCAGUUUCUGGAGCUGUUUCUUUCCACCCUUCAUGGCCAGAUUCUCAGCCUCAUCCAGACGGUGCUGCAGGUCCUUGACUGUAAUCUCCAGGUUCUUCUUCAUCCUCUCCAGAUGAGCGCUGGUGUCCUGCUCCUUCUUCAGCUCCUCUGCCAUCAUGGCGGCCUGCAGUUUUAUACAGUUUAGUCACAGGUUUUCUAUACAAAUCAUUUUCAACUUAAGGUCAAUGUUAUUUUUGGCAGCCAAAGCUCAUAGAUGGGUAGGUGUAGGCUAGUAGUACAGUUGUCCUGCACAGUUAUUGCUCCCUUAUGCAAAUCAAAUUUAAUGUAUUACCCCAUUAAAAAAACUAGCUAAUAUAAUACAGGUAAAACUGAUAUGAGUAGCACUCACAUCUGUGAUGGCCUUCUUGGCUUUCUCCUCAGCAUUUCUUGCUUCCUGGAUGGUGUCAUCAACUUCACCUUGGAUCUGGACAAGGUCAGCUUCCAGCUUCUUCUUGGUGUUGAUAAGGCUGGUGUUCUGGACACAAUGGGAUAUUUUUAGAUUGCCAUGUAAUUAUGGUGUAAUUCACCCUAUUGUCCGGUAAAAUGAGAAAGGAAUGAUCAAAUUAAAAUAAUAAAGUAAUGCCUUAUUGACUCACUUGGGAGUGCAGCAGUCCCACGCGCUCACUUGCAUCGAUCAGCUCCUGCUCGGCCACUUUGCGGCCCCUCUCUGUCUGUUCCAGAGCAACCCUCAGUUCUUCAAUCUCAGCCAGCAUCAGGUUGUUCCUGCGCUCCACCAUGGCAACCUGUUCCUUCAUGUCCUCCUGUCCUCUGAUCGCAUCAUCCAGGUGCAGUUGGGCAUCCUGACAGAGAUUAAUAAAGUUAAUUGUGUAUGAAAGCCUGAACAUGUUGGAGCUGAGCACAGGUAUUUUAGAAACAUACCUUGAGCUGUCCUUGGACAUUCCUCAGUUGCUUCUGGGCUUCAGCUGCCUGGCGGUUGGCAUGGCUCAGCUGAAUCUCCAUCUCAUUGAGGUCUCCCUCCAUCUUCUUCUUGAUUCUCAGGGCAUCAUUCCUGCUCCUCACCUCAGCAUCAAGGGUGGUCUGCAUAGACUCAAUCACCCUCUGGCUGUUCCUCUUGAUCUGCUCCAUCUCCUCAUCCUUCUCCGAUAACUUCCUGUCAAUUUCACCCUUGACCUGAUUGAGCUCCAGCUGUAUCCUGAGAAUCUUGGACUCCUCAUGCUCCAGUGCUCCCUAUGAAAUUGUGAGAAAAAAUGCGUUUUGCAGUAAUUGAGAAGCAAUUGAGAAAAUGUAUAAUAUUUGUUAAAAGGAUUCACAAGUAAGCAACAAACAUGAUCAAUUAUUGAAUUUUAUGAAACACUUUCAUUGCCCAAUAUGAAAUAAUAAUUCUCUAUUAUACAGACUUAAAAAAACAUUCCGAAAAAACAAAACAAAAUGUCAAAUGUAGCAAACCAGAAAAUAUAAAAUUGAAACUGAAGCUACAUUGCAUUACAUGUAUGAAAUUUGUUAGGGUGUGAUUACCUCUGCCUCUUCUAAGGCUGUCUGGAUUUCUGCUUUCUCACUCUCCGCAGUCUUCUUUGCCUUUUCCAGCUCAUGAAUGGUCUUUCCGCUCUCUCCAAUCUGUUCAGUCAGGUCGGAAAUCUCCUCUGGAAUGACAAUUGAAAACAAUUUAAUGAUUGUAGUAACUAUGGUUAUUGCAUGUAUUUACGAAGGUUGUGUUGAGUAUGAUUCUCAAAUGAAAUAUCACGUGCACAUACGCUGCAGAUUCUUGUUCUCUCUCUUCAGUGUCUCCAGUUGGUCCAGAGUCUCUUCAUAGGAGUUCUUCAUCUUGAAGAGCUCAGUGCUGAGAGAACGGGCCUCUUUCAGCGCUCCCUCCAACUCGGCCUGGCCUUCCUCAAACUUCUGUUUCCAUUCGGCCAGAACCUGAAUGAAAGACAAAACGCAGCCAUUAAUACCACUUCCAGCUGGCCUUCAUUUUGAACCUGAUAGUGACAUACAACACAGUUGUUAAUGAGCCCAGCUUUGGUUAGAUUUACCUUAUCGAAGUUCCUCUGUUUCUUGUCAAGGUUGGCAGCCAGGGCAUUUGCUCUCUCCACAUCAAUCAUGAGAUCCUCCACUUCACCCUGCAGCCUCUGCUUGGUCUUCUCCAGAGAGGCACACUUGGAGUUGACAGCCUCAAUGGACUCCUCUGCCUCCUGAAGACGCUGUGCAAGCUUCUUCCUGUAGAGAGUGGUAUUUCAUUUGGUUUGCAAGACUCUUUCUGAUUGUGUGAUAUGCAGUGGUUCUAUAAUAUAAAACUGUUUAGUUACUUGGCCUCCUCCAGCUCCUCAGUGCGCUGGAUGGCAUCAGUCUCAUAUUUGGAUCUCCACUGAGCCACCUCACUGUUGGCCUUGGACAUUCCACGCUGCAGCUCAGCCUUGGCCUCCUGCUCCUCCUCAUACUGCUCCCUCAGCAUGUCACAGUCAUGGCGGGCUGACUGCAAACCGUGGGCCAGGGCAUUCUUGGCCUUAAGUCAAAGCAAAGGUUAGAAUGCAAAUGAAUGAAUGGAUGUAUUAGAGAAUGCUGUGGAAUUAAGAGUACAGUUCAUGUAUAUGCCUUCCAGGCCCUUGUUGGUUAAUUAAGCUGUGAAAUACUGUUAUGUUUGAUCAAUCUAUUACCUUGACCUCCUCUUCAAUGUGCCUCUUGAGCUCCUCAAUCUGCUGUGUGUAGGCUUGUUUGCUUCUUGUCAGCUGGGAAACAAGAGCUUCCUUCUCCUCUAACUGGCGACUCAAUUCACCUGAGUAAACCAAAGUAUUGUGAAUCUCCAUCAUAUUUUUAUUUCACAUUUUGAAAUCAAAAAUCUAUAUUUGAUAUAUGUACCAUUUUCAGUAUGAAGUCUUGCUUUGUGUGCGCUUGUGUCAUUCAGCUGGCGUAAAUGCUCAUCGCUCUUGGUUUUCAGUUCACUCAGUUGAUCUUCAAGGGUACGGCACAUUUUCUCAAGGUUGCCCUGUUAGAAAAAAGUUUCUUUAGAACCCAUCAUGUUUGGUGAAAGAAACCAGACACGUCUGAAGUUAUGUGCGUAGACCUUCUCUUUACCUUUGAUUUAGCAACAGCCUCCAUGUUACUGGAGAGGUCAUCAAUCUCCAUUUUGUAUUCACUCUUCUCCUUCUCCAGUUUCUGCUUGACGCGCUGAAGGUUGUCGAUUUGUUCUCCCAGCUCUGCCACGCUGUCGGCCUGCUUCUUGCGGAGGGCGGCAGCGGUGGCUUCAUGUUGCAGGGUGGACUCUUCAAGAUCACGGCGCAGCUUCUGGAACUCAGCUUCACGCUUCUUGUUCAUCUCAAUCUGAGCAGAUGUGGCACCACCUGCUUCUUCUAGCCUCUCACUGAUCUCCUCAAGUUCCCUGGAGAGAUCAGCCCUCUGCUUCUCAACCUUGGCCCGAGCAGCACGCUCAGCCUCGAUUUCUUCCUCCAACUCCUCAAUACGAGCCUGUGGCACACAAUAGAAAAAGGGUUUAGGAUAUACAUGGAACUUUUGUCAUGUGUAAUACAUGAAAAUUGGCUGCUUUGACAGAGUACCUGGAGUUCUUUAAUCUUUUUCUGAAGCUGAGCACCCAAAGUUUGUUCAUCCUCAAUCUUGCUGAGAAGCUGGCUCAUCUCAAAGUCCUUCCUGUGGAGAGAACACCAUGAAAAAAUAAGAAUCUUUAUCAUUACAUUUUCAGUCAUUGUAUUGAUUUGAAUCCUCCCUUACUUCUUGAUCUUUUCAUCUGACUGCUGCUUGUCAUUCUCCAGAUCCAUUAUGGAUUCCUGCGCCAGUUUCAGAUCACCUUCAAGCUUUCUCUUGGCUCUCUCAAGGUCCAUGCGAAGCUUCUUCUCCUGUUCCAGAGAUCCUUCCAGCUAUUGUAGGGAAUACAGGUAAAAAAAUCUGUAAAAAGCCCUAUUUAUCCAUAAUCAUCUUCUUGCCACUAUAUAAUUCUGGUUUCUGUUCCCAAGGUUUUACCUUUUGGUCAAGAGCCCUCAUGUUUUACUCACAUCAUCCACUUGCUGUUCAAGCUUGGUCUUUGCUUUGGUCAGAGUGUUGACUUUGUCCUCCUCUGCCUGGAGAUCAUCCAGGGUCUGCUGGUGUGCCUCUUGGAGGGCCUUCUUCUCUUUUGUCAACUUGGCAAUAGUCUCAUCCUGAGAGGCCAUCUCUUCAGUCAGGUUCUUCACCUAAAGGGAUUCAUGUCACAGCAUGUUAGGGAGAUGUCACAUCCCUGCAAAAACACAAACACACAAGCACUAUAUUGAUGAAUUGUGAACCUUGUUUUCUGUGGCAUGUUUCUCCUUCUCCACUUUGGCCAAGGUGAGCUCUAAGUCAUCGAUGUCUUUCUUCAGCUCAGAGCAUUCAUCCUCCAGUUUCCUCUUCUUGGCAGUGAGCUCAGCAUUCAUUUCCUCCUCAUCCUCCAGUCUCUCAUUUGUCUCUUUGAGUUUUGCUUCAAACUGGAUCUUCGCUUUGAUGAGUCCCUCACAUCUUUCCUCAGCAUCAGCAAGGCCCUCACUUUCCUUGAAUAAAUUCAACAUUUCAUGAAAUUCUUAAGCAGGAAGCAAUUUGUGAUAACUGUUAUGACAAUAGGAGAAUUACAUGGCCAACUUACAGAUGCAACAGCCAACUGCAGGUCAUUCUUUUCCUGCAGCAGAGAGACCAUUUUCUCCUCAAGCUCCUUCUUCUUGGCUAAUGCCUUUGCCAGAUCCUCUUUGCACUUAGUGAACUCUUCCUUCAUGUUGGACAUCUCCUUCUCAGCUUCAGCACUCUUGAGAAGUGGCUUGAUCUUGAAGUAGAGCUUCAUCCAUGGCCAGUGUUUCACAUUCAUGAAUGAGCGCAUGUUGUAUUGGAUGGAGUAAAUGGACUCUCUGUGUAAAACAUGAUCAAAGUGAAGUAUUUCUGAAGAAUACAGCAGAAUUGUUUACUUGAAAUGAAGUAAUUGGUUGAUAGUUUAUGCAAAUAACAAAUAGCUCAUUUAAUGCAGAUACUGUUAUAAUUCAAUGUUUACAGAAAGUCAUGUAGUAGUACACAGAAACAUUAGAAAAGUAUUUUACAUGAUGAACCCCCUGAAAUUGGUUCAAUAUUUUCUGCAUUAUAACAUGUACCUCCUUUCCAUCAUUUUGACGAACUCUCUUCUCAUGAGGUAGCCACGGCUGAGGGCCUGAGUCAUGGUCACCAGCGUUGCCAGUUUCUCAUCACGCAUCUCCUCCAGGGUACCCAGCAGACCAGCUUUGAAGAACACCUGGAGGAAAUCAUGUAAAUAUUCAGUGAAUAAUAAGGCAUAACGUACAUCAUAUGAUGAAGGAACAAGCUCAUAAUUGAACAGUAUAUACUAUGUCUGUGUGUGUGUGUGUGUGUGUGUGAGAGAUAUAUACACUAUAACAUGCCAUGCAUAUUCAAGAAUGUAUAACACCAGAGGGAGGUGUCAUGCAUUUUUGUACUGUAUAUGCUCACACAUGGAGCGAUUUGUAUCUCUUAGGCCAUAGCAACAAUUAAAACAAUAUUUAAGAAACUUUUAAGAGAGUACAAAACUGAGACUACUAUACACAAAUCUGCCACUUUGCUCCUCUAGUAAGGAUCAAUUACAUUUUAAGCUUAAGAACUCAUUAUCAUUUACAGAAAUGCAAUUCAGGCCCUUCAAUUCUCUUACCUUGGUGUGGCCAAACUUGUACUGAGUGUGGUCCACAUCAAUGGAGCCCAGGAGCUUCUCAGAAGCUUUCUUGUUGUCAAUGAACUGUCCCUCAGGGAUGACACUGGCAUUCAAUACCUUGUAUCUAAAAGAAAAUACUGCCAUUUUUAACUGGAGACAUUGCUAUGAAGUGUGCUUGAUUGAUAGUCAGUCAUGGAUUAUUGUGGACAAUAACUACAUUACAUUAUAGCAACACUGUGGUCUAUAUACUCAUGUAUUAAAGAGGUGCAUAAGAUACCUCUGCUUGAAGUCACCAUAGAGGAUUCUGCUGGGGAAGCCCUUUCUGCAGAUUCUGAUGCCUUCCAGCACACCAUUACACCUCAGCUGGUGGAUAACCAAGAAGUUCUCCAUCAGACCUAGAAAACAAGAAAAUAUGUUUAUAAUUCAUCAAUCAUCAUAAUAUAUACAGUGAUACUGUAAAUGCAAGAUAUUGUGUCUCACAACACUACAAUGUAGUUACUGCUACAAGGAUUUAUACUAUUCUGUUUCUUGGAUUCUUUUUUGACAAGUUGAGCUUAUGGGGCCUUAAGUACAGUCCUUACCAGGUGUCUUUGAUUCAUUAGGAAUCAAGCAACGCACAAAGUGAGGAUGUGUGCUCCUCAGGUUGGUCAUCAGCUUGCCCAAGUUCUCCUGUGAGAGAGGAGGAGGCAAAAUAUAGAAAUAGGAAGCUGUACAACGCUUUUUUACAUUAAUUCAAUCUAUUAUGUGAACAUCACAUGUACACGUUACGGUAAUAUUACACAGACACAGUGAUAUCACUGCCAACUAUUCUUGGAUAACAGUAUAGUUUCACUUGCAUUCCUCCCUUACCCUGAAGAGAGCAGACACAGUCUGGAAGGAGCCACCCUUCUUCUUGCCAGCCUUUUUGCCACCCUUUGCAGCUUCUGUUUGUACAUGACAAAUGAAACAGUUGGUUUUAAUACUAUUUUGAAGUAAAAUCAAGAAAAGUUAAGAAAAAUCACUUUUAGUUACCUGCUUUUGAUAAGGAACUAUGAUUUCUAUUUUCGCAUUUCCUGUCAAAUUGAGUGUCUUUGCUAUUUUUGAGAGAUUUAUUCUGAUCAACCUUUUUUUAGAUUGUGACUUACAAUGAAGACUAUUUUCGUAAAAUCAAUCAGCACAGCCUUACCAUCAGCUGCACCGUGGGUUGCAUACAGGUGACACAGCAGUUUGACUGAGGACUUCUGGUACAGCUGUACUACAGAGUCGUUCAGAGGGUCCUUGUUCUUGUCCAGCCAGCCGUUGAUGUUGUAGUCCACAGUGCCAGCAUAGUGAACCAGGGCGAAGUGGGCCUCAGCCUUUCCUUUGGCAGGUUUGGGCUUCUGGAACGCGUUGGUUUUGCCCAGAUGUUGGUCAUAGAGCUUGUUCUUAAAGGUUGUGUCAGAAGCCUUGGGGAACAUGCACUCCUCUUCAAGGAUGGAGAAGAUGCCCAUUGGCUGGUGAAGGCAAAAAUAUUUCCAUGAGGAGACAUCAGGGGUAACAGAACAUGUUUGUGUCUGUCGAUAAUAAAGGGCAUCUCACAUACCUUCUCAAUAAGCUCAAUGCAGGCAGCCAAGUCCAUACCAAAAUCAAUGAACUCCCAAUCAAUUCCCUCUUUCUUGUACUCCUCUUGUUCCAGCACAAACAUGUGGUGGUUGAAAAACUGUUGCAGUUUCUCAUUGGUGAAGUUGAUACACAGCUGCUCCAAGCUGUUGAACUGAAUUUUUGAGAAGAUACAAACUUUAGUGAAAUUUGAUUAAGGCCCUCAUAUUGUGAUAUUUCAUGUACAAGAAUUUGUGAUAAUAUGACGGGGCACCGCCACUCACAUCAAAGAUUUCAAAUCCAGCGAUAUCCAGGACACCAAUGAAGUAAUUUCUCUGUUGCUUUGUGUCCAACAUCUCAUUGAUGCGAAUGACCAUCCACAAGAACAUUUUCUCAUAGACAGAUUUGCACAGAGCAUUAACAGAGUUGUGGACCUAUUAGUGUAAUGAGAAAAAGAGAUAAAUGCCAUAUUUGAAUGUGUUAUAUUCUGUAUAUUUCACUAUUGUUUCAGUACUGAUGAAUCACUAUUCAGCAAAUUGUAUAGUGUAUUAUAAUAUUUGAGUAUUAUACAAAAAUAUUUUUCAUUGAGAUACAUUACCUGUGGUACAGUCUGUCCCUUGGUCACAAACUCAUUUCCGACCUUCACUCUGGGGUAGCACAGACAUUUCAGCAGGUCAGCUGAGUUCAGGCCCAUGAGGUAAGAAAUUUUAUCUGCCACUGAAAUGAAGAGAAUCAAGGUGUGAUUCUACAUGUUAAAAUCGUAGUCAACCACAAAAAAUGUAAUCAGCGUAACCAUUGCAUAAUCCUCUUAGCUACUUUGACGUUGGUGCAUUAACAGAGCCAAUGUGUUGCACUUACCCUCAGUGCCAUCUGGUUCAGCCUGCUCCUCGCGCUGCUUUUGCUUAAACUUCAUGUUCCCGUGAUGCAAACAAGCACCAGUCAGCUUGUAGAUGCCCAACUUCUCAUCACCAGUGAAGCCCAAGAUAUCAAUGGCAGUCUACAAUGAAAACAAAAAAUGUUCAUCAGAAUUCAUCAGAGUUUUCAGCCUGGAUUUGCUCAACAUCAUCAUUUAAGCUUUAUUCUUCAAGUGUCACAAGUGUCAUGGGUCAUUCUUGAAUUCACAAUAAUUGCUGGGUUUCUAAGGAAAUACACUAACACCUGAAUUAAUUUUCAAGACAAUAUUCAGGACAAAUAAUGAGUGAGGAAGAAAGCAAAACAAAAUUAUCAGUUGGAAUUCACGACAACCUGUUUUCACAUGGAAUUAAAAUAUGUAGUCAAGAUUUUCUCCGGUGACAAUGCAAGAAUUAAUGUUUGAAGGGGUAUCUGCUAGCCAGUCAGGCUGCUGGGAAGUCAGGGUGAACGAUUACAGUGUACUGCAAAGUCCUGUAUAGCAACUUUGUUGCUUCAGAAAUACUGGUAUAAAGCAGCACUUUUUGUAAUUGAUUUGGUGAAGAAAAAUCACUUACAUCUGUGGCAAUGAACUCCUCCACGUCAUCUAUACUUUUGACAGUGAUUUCACCUUGGCUGAUCAUGGGGUAAUCAUAUGGGUUGGUGGUAAUGAGUAGACCCUCUGUAAUAAACAAUAAUCAGUUAUACUGAAAAUUGCAAGUGUUAUUCACAGAAUUAAAUCUGUUGCAGAAUGACAGAUUUCACACCUAGCAGUUCAGGUUUGUGGCCUGUCAUAAGCUGGUAGAAGAUGUGGUAGCUGCGCUCAGCUGACAGCUGGAAUGUUACUCUUGACUUUUCCAGCAAAUCUGUGGGAAGAAAAUUGCAUUUUCAUAAAAAGGUUUUUACAGUAGAAUCCCUUGCUAAAUUGAUACAGUGUGUCAGGUAGAGACUUACAGGUUUCAAUAUCAGCAGAAGCCAGUUUGCCUGUUGUACCAAAGUGGAUUCUGAUGAACUUUCCCUGAAAAAUUAACAAAAUGAAAUUUUGGGAUUAAAUGCCGCAUUAUUUCAGUACUGUUAAUGUAAGGAAGUUUGAACUUUAAAUAUAUCUUCAAACUUACAAAACGGGAGGAGUUGUCAUUCCUCACGGUCUUGGCAUUACCAUAAGCCUCCAGCAGGGGGUUCGCUGCAAUGAUUUGAUCCUCCAGUGAUCCCUACAGGAGACACCGGACACCUCAGAAAUGUGCAACAACAGUUAAUGUUCCCAAGAUAUUUGCACAUUUCUAGAGACUCCCUCUGACCUGCAUUUUGCUAGCUGAUUGCUCAGCUUUCUUUCCUCCAGCCACUGCGAUUGUCGCGAAGUACUGGAUGACACGUUUUGUGUUCACAGUUUUCCCUGCACCAGAUUCUCCGCUGUGGAAGAACAGAAAGAACAUUGCUUUUCAUUUUUACAAACAUUUAAUUUUAGCUUUCUUUUAAUCAUGGUUUUGGAAAUGUACUGUAUGGGGUACAUACGUAAUCAGAACGGACUGGUUCUCACGAUCUGCAACAGGAAAGAUUGGAAAUUUGUUAUAUUGAUACACUUCUUUCAUUCUUAUCCUUUUUCUUUUCAAAUGAGACGGACCUUACUCAACAACAGAUUACCCUUUCUUUUUAAUCCCAUCCCACCCUGUUUGCAAUCAAUACACAUGAUUGAGGCUAUUUGUAUUCACAUGGCUGGUACUGUUCAGCUGGUGAGAUUGAUUCCUUUCUCAGCAGGAUUCUACAUUUGGAAACAUUAUUGGCAUUUGUCAGACGCUCUUAUCCAGAGCGACAUACAGUUAGACCAAGCAGGAGACAGUCCUCCCCCUGGAGCAAUGCAGGGUUAAGGGCCUUGCUCAAGGGCCCAACGGCUGUGCAGAUCUUAUUGUGGCUACACCAGGAAUUGAACCACCCACCUUGCGUGUCCCAGUCAUUUACCUUAACCACUACACUACAGGCCGCCCCAGAAACAUUUGUUUUGGGUGCCAAUAAAUCAUUCCCAUAUUCAGUUAAUCUGUCCUGCAGCACCAAAGUUGUUUGUAAAGUCACUUAGAUUUCCUCCCCAUUCUAACAUUUGGUCUGAGAAACAGCUGAACCUCUUGGCCAUGGCUGCAUGCUAUUUUGCAUUUAGAUGCUGCCAUAUCAUUAACUGAUUAAAUAUUUGCAUUAACAAGCUGGUUUACAGGUGUACCUAACUGAGUAUCUACUACUGUAAACCUGUAUUUUAGAGUAACUUGAAAAUGUGUACCAGAAGAUAUUCGUACCUGUGAGCAUGAACUGAUAGGCAUUGUCAGAGAUGGAGAAGAUGUGGGGUGGGGCUUCAAUUCUCUUUUUGCCUCUGUAUGCUUCCACAACAACAGAAUCGUACACUGGGAGCCACUUGUAGGGAUUCACAGUGACGCAGAACAGCCCAGAGUAGGUCUGAAACAGUGACAGUAGAUACAUUAUGUGCAGGAACACAUUCAUUUCUUUGCAUUUUGUAAAUGUAUUAAAGUGUUUUUGAGGAAAACUCACAUAGAUCAUCCAUGCUGCAUAGCGCUCUUUGAGGUUAUACAGCACACAGGGCUCAUUGAGGUGGGUCAUCAUGGCCAUGUCCUCAAUCUUGUCGUAUUUGGGAGGAUUCAUUGGGUGGAUGUCAUCCUCCUUGACUGUUAGUUUCUGUGAAAUAGAAAAUUGAAGUGGUUAUUAAUAUUAUUAUUAUUAUUAUUAUUAUUAUUUUAUUAUUAUUAUUACUACUAUUAUCAAGCACUAUGUGCUUGGAGCCCUAUUUAUAAUUAUAAUUAUUUUCCGCCCGCUUUGAAUGCUUAUAUCUCCCAAACGGUCUGGUGAAAACUCUUGCAACUUGCUAGGCAUGUUACGAAUAUGUGCAUUUGAGGGCUAUUAGAAUAUGGCACCAGUUGGCCUAGUAGUGGCUUUAUAGAGCACGUUUGAAAAUGGAAAAAUUUGAAAAGCCAUAACUUUUGAACCAAUAUUUUAGACAAUGAAAUGCUAAAAAAAAAAUCUUUCUUCUGAUAAAACGUACAUCUGAUUGAUGUCAGAUUUGGUGGCUAUCAGCUAUGGCCUAUUCCCGAAGUAGAUUGUGAGGAAAUUGUUAAUCCAUCAAAAACUGAAUGGCUACUGAAAUUGACCCAUGUGGGCUCCAUUUAAACAGCUGUAAUUAAUUCCAGACAGCUCAUUCAGCCUUGAUCAUUUUCUACAUCGAAGGCAAUGAACAAUACAAAACUUUAAUGUACUCAAUAGAGAAUUUUUAUAGUGGCCGCUAUAAAAUAAUUGGUAAUUUAGCAUUUUUAUUUUGGAAAAAAUACAAUGUAAAAAUCUUCACAUGAAGCGUAAGUCCAAUCAAUAUGCCAUUUGGAACAAGAACACUUUGUUUAACCGGCUAUCUAAAUUGCGAAGGAAAAGUUUCAAAAUGAUAGCCAAUCAUAUUUUCAUAUGAAAAUUAGCAUGCAAUGCUAAGUCAGAAUUGUAAGCCAUGGCUUGCCAAGGGGGCACUAGGGGUUGCUGUAGCUCCAUAAUUAAUUUAGCCGUCAUUGGCCUUCUCCAGCAUUGCACUCUGUGCUUGGACCCUGUUUAUCGCAGCUAUUAUUAUUAUUAUUAUUUUCUCUACUUACUUGAUGCCCUUCCAGAGUUUCAACGGUGGCUUUGCCCCCCUCUCUGCUAACGAGUUUCCCCUUGAGGUACAUCUCCUUGGGCUCAGCCACAAAGUAGGCCGUUUUGGCAUCAAAGGGUGUGUUCUGGGCCUCGAUUCUCUCCUUCUCAGGCUUCCGGAGGAAAACGGAUGCUGGCCCGAAGACCGACAUCUCCGCAUCUGUACUCAUGAUGGCAAUUUACUGAGGAGAAACAAAGUAAAUGUUCAAGCAACUGAAUCCAACAUUUUAUCGAAGUGAACUAGAAAGAUUUCAGUCACAAAGACAAAAUGAACAAGAUGGCCUGUUACAUAGUGGUUUUUAAAUAUGUACCCAGUAAAUGCUCAACUAUACCUGGUAAAAAGUUGAAAAUGUUUUGGGUAGAAAAAUAUAUAAAUGACUCUCUUCAUUAUCAAAUGCGCUCUGAGCUCAAAUACAAAUACAAAUUUGUUUUUAUCUUGGGUGAAUUUAGGUAGGAAAACGGGGGGGGUGGGGGGUCGGGGAUUCUUCAGAUGUGCUGUUAGGCUUUAUUCUUUUUGAUUGUUAAAGCAAUUUAUGUUUAGGCCUACCUCCUUCAAUGCCAAGAGAAAAAGGUGGUCUUUGAGUGCUGAAAAAAACAGUUUUCCAUUAAUACAGUAUUAAAUGUAAACUACAUGUACGCUAUUUCGUAAUUUGCUCAAUUUCAAGGGAAAACAUGAAGGCCCGCUAUUGGCUUUUUAAAAUGGUUGAGAUACUCAGGAAUAUGCUGAUAUGCUUAUGUCUUUAUGUAAUUUCAAUACAAUUACCACAAAUGUGAUACAAAUACUGUAUCAGUUUAUGUUUGUUAUUUCUAUUUGACAUUACUCUUAACAUAAUGAACUUAUACACAAUCCCUUCGGGCUUCAUACUGUACAUUGUAAGCUGCUCCAAUAUCACAGUAAAUCUCACUCACCUUGCAGGGUGCCAGCCAGUCCCUGGGGGUAUGAGGGUGGCAUCUUUUAUAGAGGGGGAUUUGUCUUCACUCAGCAGAACUCAACCCCUCUAUUUGGUCAUGUAUCUUUCCCCUUACUGGCUAUCUAGUGCUCGUAGCAGUAGAUAUGAUAUUAUUUUUAUCUUCUGAUAAAUCAUUGGUAUUUCUUAGUGAAAAUAAUACUACACGGGGGUUCAUAAUAAAUUAUAGGAACCUGAAUCGGAGAAAACUGGGAAGCAAAAAAUAUAAUUUUAAUACAUAUUGUUCUGUAUAAUAUUUGAUUCAUGAUAACAUAUAUUUUGUCCUGAAGUACAGUACAGUAUAAAACUUUUCAAAUGUAUGAAUUUAUUAUUAUUAUUUUUUUAUUGUACUUGCUACAAUAUACUUUCUUUUAUUAUACAUAUUAUACAUUACAUUAUAGUUAAUCUCAUCUUUUGGAUUUUUUAUGCAUUUAAAAUAUUUUUAAUGGGUGGCUUCAUGGUAUAACCUUAAACUUUUAAAGAUUGAACUAAUAUGCAUUUUAGUGGAACUGUCAUAAAGAACAUGGGAGCUUAGUGUAGCUGUGUAGAGAUUAUUAAAUUAAACUGAUAUAAUCACUUGCAGUGCUUACAAGUAGCAAUACUGGGAGUGACAAUUCCCAGAACAUUUACAAAUAAUGACACCUCAUGACACCUCAAUGAAGAUCAAUCUUGUUCCUCAAGAAAUAAAUCUAAACAUUCUUACUUUAACAUGCCUUGUUAACAGAACUUAUCUAUGGCUUUACAAUAUAUUAAAUAUUCAUAUAUUAACUGACCCCCAUAGAUCCCCCCCCCCCCCCCCGGUUCCCACUCUUGUGUCAUGUGUAUGAUGGAUUCUGGCACGGAUGAGGAGCCUAGUUUAACCUUGGAGAAGCAGUGAAAUGUCACUGGUGUACUGUUGCAGUACUCUUGCCUGCCUUUGAGUUUUUGCAUGAAAUAAAACUUGGGUGUAGGUUCAAUCCUUGGCCUCAGCAGUACAGACGUCAGCAUUUCCAAAAUGUACCUUAUUAACCCUUCAGAAUGUGUCAUACCCCCAGUUUUUAGCCUGGGUAUGCUGGCUUUUGUUGUUACUAAGCACCCGAUUGAUCUAUUAAAGCGGUUAAUUAGAGUUGUGCACCCCUGUUUUAGCGUUAAUCCAUCCUUUGCCUUUAUCACAGCUUGCUUUCUUUUUGAGAGACCUGCUGCUUUAAAAAAAAAGAAAAAGAAAAACCUUCUUGUAAACAUCUCCAAAGUUCAGUCUUAGAUGUUGGUUGCAUUUUCUGCUUCUGCCUCAAUCCAAGUAAUCCCAAAUGCAUUCAAUUUUUUUGUUGUAUUUAUCAGCAACCAAAUCUUGUCAUACAACCCAAAACUGCACUGAUCCUCCACCAUGCUUGACUGAUGUGUUGUAGACGGUUCAAAGAGUCUUUCAUAGCUUUAGUGGUGUAUACACUGCUUUCUCUUUGUUCCAAAAAUCUCACAUUUGGAUUAAUUGGUCCAUAAAACACUGGAAAUGUGAUAAAUGCAAGGGUGGUCUCUUGCCAUUUAUUUUUAUUUGCAUAAUUACACAUUGUGGAGAAAUGCCACAGAAAAUGAAUAAUCAGGAGUGUAUUAGGGAUGCUGGAGACUGAAUCAUUUCCAGUGCUUUGAAAUUUGAAAGUAUUACUGUGUAUGUCAAUAAAUAAUAUGCACUGCCAGAUCAGCAGAUUCUGUUUCAUGCUAGCAUUGGCUUCAAUAGAAUCUUUUUAUUUCUUUAUUUAAAUACACUUAAAACACUACACCAGCAUCACAUUACACAAUUCAUGUGUCUGGGUCUAGAGAUGUUCCUGUGGGAAAUGCUGCAAACUAUUUUUAUACAAGGUUUAUGAUAUUAUAAGGCACCUCUAUUCCCUGGAUAAGAUCAUGUCCAAACAUGGAAUGGGAACGAACAUAGAGAAGUGCUUACGCAUGUUUUAUUAAAAUGAUGCGCUUGAUCCAAUAAUGUGGGUCUAUGAAGAUGAAAUACUGAUGCAGCUGCUCAGGGUAUUGCUAUUUGCCAGGAUGUGCUGUGACACUUACUGUAGAGUUGGGUUUAAUGUGUCCACAGUAUUCCACCCCAGUGCUGCUUCAGCUCUGACUAUUGCUGCACAGUUCACUUGAGAAGGUUUAUCGAACAGAUGAAGUGUCAUUAGGAGGAGGGAGGGAUGCCAUUUAUAGUAUCAACAAUCAGUAUUCCACCCCAGUGCUCCUUCAGCUCUGACUAUUGCUGCACAGUUCACUUCAGAAGGUUUAUUGAACAGAUGAAGUGUCAUUAGGAGGAGGAAGGGGUGCCAUUUAUAGUAUCAACAAUCGGUAUUCCACCCCAGUGCUCCUUCAGCUCUGACUAUUGCUGCACAGUUCACUUCAGAAGGUUUAUUGAACAGAUGAAGUGUCAUUAGGAGGAGGAAGGGGUGCCAUUUAUAGUAUCAACAAUCGGUAUUCCACCCCAGUGCUCCUUCAGCUCUGACUAUUGCUGCACAGUUCACUUCAGAAGGUUUAUCGAACAGAUGAAGUGUCAUUAGGAGGAGGGAGGGGUGCCAUUUAAAGUAUCAACAAUCAGGUAAGUACAACUUGUUACUGCAAUAGAAAGUGAGUGAAGGGAUUCAAAGUAUAGCCUCCACUGAACUUUUCUAGAGUGCAGCACAACAAUUUAGGAAUGUGAGUGCACUGAAAACCAUAGCUAUUGGUUUUUCAUUUGAAAUUGUGUCUGGUUUGUACCCUGGUGUAAAGUCCAGCUAUAAUCAGCUUAAAAUACCAGCUACUCGCUGUUUCAAAACAUACCUUGAGCUGGUCUAACUGGUCAACCAGCUACCAGCUGAUUCAAGACCUAGCUUGAGCUGUUGAGCAAGGUAGUAGUCUUUGACCUACAUUUUUAAACAGGUAGUCAUUUUGUAACCAUUUUGGUGUACCAUUUAUAGUGCUACUGCCAUAGACCACAAGCAGCGCACAUAUGGCAAUACACUUGCUAUGAUCUGGAACUGAUUAAGUGAAGCAAAUUCUCCAAAGUAUUUAGCUUUUCCCAUUGGGCUGUUUGGAUUGCUGACUUUAAUACACUAUACUGUGACAGUCUGGUUUUACUGUAGGUCAUGAUAAAAUGUGUUUAUCAAAUCAAUCAAUGGAAACUUUGAAUGCAUUCCCAUACUGCAACUGGAUUGAUUUCUGAGUUAAUUAAUGGUAGCAACAAUAAAAUAGAAGUGAUGAUGCUCACAGAAUGCCACCAUCUGUAGUAGUUCUCCCUUAUUAAAGCUCAUCACAGUGUUGGAAUUCAUAUUUCUGAUAGUGAUGGGUGUCAUUUAUUUCAUAGAACAAAACACCCAUUACUAUCUCGACCAUGAAUGUCAAAGUUAAUGUAAAUUAAGCCUGCCUCUUGUAGGCCUUUGCAUCGAGCUGCAGCUUGUCCACCAGGUCCUGCAGUCUGUGGACGUUCUUCUUGUCCUCCUCAGUCUGCAGAGGGUAAAGCAGGUUCAGAAGAGGUAGCAUGCCUGGCUGUUUUCUCGUCCACUGUUUUAUGUAGAGGUUGAAAACCUUUACCUGUUGGAUGAACUCUGACUCUCCUGUCCAAGCUUGUCCACCAGGUCCUGCAGUCUGUGGACGUUCUUCUUGUCCUCCUCAUUUACCUUAACCACUACACUACAGGCCGCCCUAGCAUACUGUAUGGGCCAUCACCAGCUUCCCCUGUAUUACCUACUUUAUCUGGAUUAAAUGUCUUUAACUUUGAGAGAGCUCAGUCAUUUCUGAGCUACGCCUUCAGAAAGAUGAUAUAGUACUGGCAAAAAACUUAAUGCAUAUGAUGCCUGACAGGCUCAUAAAUCAAAUAAAUGUGAUACUUGACAUCCUUGAAAGAUGUACUUGUGAGUAAAUACAAAUAUAGUUGCUUACUCAACUAGCAGAACAUUCCUGUUAAUCAAAUGCUGCCAGUUUAAUGGUGGAGCAGCUUUUUAAUCUCCAUUAAUAUUCAAUGGCUCUGCUCUUCAACCUCAUUCUCCUUUUGUUUAGAAGUGCUAGAACAAUAUCAGAUUUUAUAAUGGUGGCUUGGGGUUUGUAGUUGCAAAGUUGUUGAUAUAAUUCAUCAUUUAUUAUCUAUUGACUAUGCUGCAGACAAUUCUCGUCUUAGCAUACAGCAUUACUUUCCAUCUGACACCAUUCCCAAGGCAUUUAGCCAACAAAUGGAGAAUUUUGGUACAAUAUUUUUUGUUAUUAUAGGACAGUACUACUCUAUGGGAAAGAUGAUAUAUUACCAAAAAUGUUCAGUGAAAAAGGUGAAUUUGAUAUUUGUUUCAUUACAGAGAUGAAAUGCUAAUAUAACUGAUUGGUGUAAUCAGAACAUUUAAGCACUGUGAUGUUUAUUGAGAAUAAGUCAUUAGGCAAAAUUAAGCGACUUUCUGCUAUUUAGAUGGGUGGGUUGAGUGUUUUUUUUUUUUUUUGUGUUGAUGUUGGUAUUAUGUCAGAAUUUAUCACUCGUGCAUAAUCUGCAGUAUUGGAUUCUACAGUAAAGCCCAGCUCCCUAUCCCUUAUAGUACACUGUGCCCUUUUUCCACUAACUCCUCUAUGGCACUCUUUGAGCUGUUCCAAUUGGAAAAUCGGUGAUGACACAUACAAUAAUUUGGAUUUCUCUGCAGAUAGAUCAGUCAGUAGGUCCUUUCUUUUGGUCAUCCAAAAAGAUGCCAUUGUAGGCUAGCUGAAAACAAGCUAUCUGGUGAUUGAAAAUGUCAGGAGCUCAGUUAAAGAAAGACGUUAAAAACGUUCAAUCUGCCAGGCACAGAUGUAUAGGCCAGUUGCAGCUGCUGAGGUGAAAAUUGAGGUGGCAGAAAAAAACAACAACUUCCCCUUAAGCUGACUAGUUGUCUCAACCCGUUUUCAUCAUUUUCAGCAAUUCAUUCACUACAUAUUCAAUAACAUCAGAGAUAUAGGCAGUUGCUCUUAAUUCGACUAUUAGGCAAGUGAUAAAAUGACUUUCAUUUGUACUGCAAUGGGACAAUAUACUCCAGAUAGGCUAACCUGCAUGUCUUUUUACUGUGGGAGGAAACCAGAGAACCCACACAGAGAAGUGACUUGUACACACUCACCAAGCACUUUAUUAGGUAUUUAUUGGACUUAUUAUUAUUUUUUACUAAUUGGUCUUCUGCUGCUGUAGCCUAUCCACUUUCAGGUUUGAUGCGUUUUGUGUUCAGAGAUGCUCUUCUGCAUACCACUGUUGUAAUGUGUGGUUAUUUGUGUUGCGGUCAGCUUCCGGUCAGCUUUGACCAGUCUGGCCCUUCUCCUCAGACCUCUCUCAUUAACAAAGUGUUUCUGUCUGCAGAACUGCUGCUCACUGGAUUUCUUUUUGGGGUUUUUUUGCACCAUUCUUUGCAAGACUAGUGUGCAUGGAAAUCCCAGCAGUUUCUGAGAUACUCAAACCACCCUGUCUGCCACCAACAAUCAUUCCACGGUCAAAGUAAUUUUUUCCCCAUUCUGAUGGUUGAUGUGAACAGUAUAUGAAGCUCCUGACCCAUAUCUACAUGAUUGUAUGCACUGCACUGCUGCCACACAAUUGGCUGGUAAGAUAAUCACAUGAAUAAGUAGGUGCAAUAAAGUAUUCCUAAUAAAGUGCUCGGUGAGUGUAUAUGUUAUAUAUUUAAUUAUCCUUCAAGUAUGCUGAAGUAUGUAAUUACUGUGCUGAUUAUGUUAUCCUGUAUAUUCAACCAGGCAAUAAUAUACGCCUGAGGCUUAUGCUAUGAAUUCCACUGCAGUGUGAUGGCAUGACAUCUGAUAAAAGAAAAAUAAUUUUGUAAAAAAAAUAAAAAAAGGUGAAAAUAAGAAUACCACACAAGUACUGUAUAAGGCGAGCUACCUUUAUUGACUGACGGCUUACAUGACAACAUUUUGCAAGAAGUUCAUAUUGUAUGAGAGCUUGUUACUCCGUCUCAUCUAGGUUGCCUCCCUUAUUCUGCGGUUUCUUUCCCCUAAAAUGAAAUUGAAUAUUAAAAACCCAUUAUCCUCUCAUCAUAUACACUCUGUAAAUUGAGAGUGGUAUUCAUAUGCAGUAACUCAUUUAAAUAAAUUGUAACCCCAAAUUGUAACCCCAGUGGUAACCUACCUUGCCAGCGUCACGGCUCUUGGCUCUCAGCUUGUUGACCUGGGACUCAGCGAUGUCGGCACGCUCCACAGCUUCUUCCAUCUCGUGCUGCACCUUCCUGUACCUGGACAGGUGGGUGUUGGCUUGUUCCUCCUGUGAGUGAGCAAGAGAAUAUAUUUCAGAGUUAGCGAUUGCAUUGAAUUGAAUGUAGACAUUGAAUUAAUCAAUUAUGAUACUGUUUAUCGUAACUAAUUAUGCAGUUGUCAGAGCUAUCCUCCAAAGAAUGAAGAGAAUAAAGGUUCUCCUGCGACUGUAAUUGCCAUAUUCAAAUUAUAUUUUCGACACCUAUUAAUUACUUAACAAUGCAUUAUAGCAUUUAGUACAUUAGUCUUCGGUAUGGAGCAUUUGACUUACGGAUUCCUCAGCCUGCCUCUUGUAGGACUUCACUUUGAGCUGCAGUUUGUCCACCAGGUCCUGCAGUCUGUGGACGUUCUUCUUGUCCUCCUCAGUCUGCAGAGGGUAAAGCAGGUUCAGAAGAGGUAGCAUGCCUAGCUGUAGUUUAGUCCACUGUUUUGGGUUAAGAUGUAUGAAACCUUACCUGGUAGGUGAGCUCCUUGACUCUCCUCUCAUAUUUACGGACACCUUUGACGGCAUCGGCUCCACGUCUCUGUUCAGCCUCAACUUCACCUUCCAGCUCGCGCACCUUGAAUAGAAAAUUGACCAUUUUUAUACGGUGCAGAUGUGGACAGGACCCCGAAAAUACGGGUGCUUCUUCAUGAAACCUGCAUGACCCAAUUGUAUCGUUAUUUUCUGUGUUUGUUAUCGGUACUGAAACACCUACUUAAUUGAGAAUAUAAUUUUAUAAAAAACUAAUAAAUUAAAUUUUACAAAUGAGCACUGAUUUGGCUGAUUGAUGUAAAUUACCCUGGAUUCCAGUUUCUGGAGCUGUUUCUUUCCGCCCUUCAUGGCCAGAUUCUCAGCCUCAUCCAGACGGUGCUGCAGGUCCUUGACAGUGACCUCCAGGUUCUUCUUCAUCCUCUCCAGAUGAGCGCUGGUGUCCUGCUCCUUCUUCAGCUCCUCUGCCAUCAUGGCAGCCUGCAGUUUCAGACAGUUUUCUGCUUUCAUGCAAGUUUUUAUAUAAACAAUUAUUUUCUGAGGGCAAGACUGAUGGUACAGUAUUUACAGCACAGGCCCCACGUGGAACACAGCUAAUUUAUUGUUAUGCAAAGGGCUGUACCUCUGCUGGUCUGAUAAAAAUCAAGCUGUAUGAUUUACAGAAGAGGCAAAAGUAAGCUUUACACAUUUCUGGUAUGAGCAUCACUCACAUCUGUGAUGGCCUUCUUGGCUUUCUCCUCAGCAUUUCUUGCUUCCUGGAUGGUGUCAUCAACUUCACCUUGAACCUGGACAAGGUCAGCUUCCAGCUUCUUCUUGGUGUUCAUAAGGCUGGUAUUCUGGACAAAAUGGAAUAUUUUUAGGUUGGCAUGUCAUUAUGUUGUAAUUCUCCCUAAAAUAAUAAAGGAAUGCCUUAUUGACUCACUUGGGAGUGCAGCAGUCCCACGCGCUCGCUUGCAUCGACCAGCUCCUGCUCGGCCACUUUGCGGCCCCUCUCUGUCUGUUCCAGGGCAGCCCUCAGUUCUUCAAUCUCAGCCAGCAUCAGGUUGUUCCUGCGCUCCACCAUGGCAACCUGUUCCUUCAUGUCCUCCUGUCCUCUGAUCGCAUCAUCAAGGUGCAGUUGGGCAUCCUGACAGAGAGAUUAAUUAAGUUAAUUGUGUAUGAAAGCCUGAACAUGUUGGAGCUGAGCACAGGUAUUUUAGAAACAUACCUUGAGCUGUCCUUGGACAUUCCUCAGUUGCUUCUGGGCUUCAGCUGCCUGGCGGUUGGCAUGGCUCAGCUGAAUCUCCAUCUCAUUGAGGUCUCCCUCCAUCUUCUUCUUGACUCUCAGAGCAUCAUUCCUGCUCCUCACCUCAGCAUCAAGGGUGGUCUGCAUAGACUCAAUCACCCUCUGGCUGUUCCUCUUGAUCUGUUCCAUCUCCUCAUCCUUCUCCGCUAACUUCCUGUCAAUUUCACCCUUGACCUGAUUGAGCUCCAGCUGUAUCCUGAGAAUCUUGGACUCCUCAUGCUCCAGCGUUCCCUGUAAAAUUGUGAGGAAAAAAUAUAUUUUGCAGCAAAGAUGGAAAACAUUUUGUCUUCUUGAAGUAAUUGAGAAAAUGUACCAUAUUUGUAGGACUUCACAGGUUGCAGAUAAGCAAAUUACUUUUAUUAUGUUCAUAAAACUCAUUGCCAAAUAUGAAAUAAUUAUUAUCUAUUAUAAAGGGUUUAAAAGAAAUAAAUAACAAAAUCAUUGCAUUACCUGAAAAGUGUCAAGUGGGUGAAAGGUGUGUGAUUACCUCUGCCUCUUCUAAGGCUGUCUGGAUUUCUGCUUUCUCACUCUCCACAGUCUUCUUUGCCUUCUCCAGCUCAUGAACGGUCUUUCCAGUCUCUCCGAUUUGCUCAGUCAGGUCGGAAAUCUCCUCUGUAAUGACGAUGAUAAACAAUGUAAUAAUUGUUGUAGCUGUGGUUAUUGCAUGUAUCUGUCAAGGUUGUGUUGAGUAUGUUAUUUCCAAAGCCUCAUGAAUGUUGUUAUAAUAAUAGAUUAUUACAAGUGCACAUACGCUGCAGAUUCUUGUUCUCUCUCUUCAGUGUCUCCAGUUGGUCCAGAGCCUCUUCAUAGGAGUUCUUCAUCUUGAAGAGCUCAGUGCUAAGAGAACGGGCCUCUUUCAGUGCUCCCUCCAACUCGGCCUGACCUUCCUCAAACUUCUGUUUCCAUUCGGCCAGAACCUGAAUGAAAGACAAAACGCAGCCAUUAAUACCACUUCCAGCUGGCCUUCAUUUUAAGCCUGAUAGUGACAUACAACACAGUUGUUAAUGAGCCCAGCUUUGAUUAGAUUUACCUUAUCGAAGUUCCUCUGUUUCUUGUCAAGGUUGGCAGCCAGGGCAUUUGCUCUCUCCACAUCAAUCAUGAGAUCCUCCACUUCACCCUGCAGCCUCUGCUUGGUCUUCUCCAGAGAGGCACACUUGGAGUUGACAGCCUCAAUGGACUCUUCUGCCUCCUGCAGACGCUGUGCAAGCUUCUUCCUGUAAAGAGUGGCAUUUCAUUUGGUUUGCAAGACUCUUUCUGAUUGUGUGAUAUGCAGUGGUUCUAUAAUAUAAAACUGUUUAGUUACUUGGCCUCCUCCAGCUCCUCAGUGCGCUGGAUGGCAUCAGUCUCAUAUUUGGAUCUCCACUGAGCCACCUCACUGUUGGCCUUGGACAUUCCACGCUGCAGCUCAGCCUUGGCCUCCUGCUCCUCCUCAUACUGCUCCCUCAGCAUGUCACAGUCAUGGCGGGCUGACUGCAAACCGUGGGCCAGGGCGUUCUUGGCCUUAAAGUCAAAGCAAAGGUUAGAAUGAAUGAAUAGAUGUAUUAGAGAAUGCUGUGGAAUUAAGAGUACAGUUCAUGUUUAUGCCUUCCAGGCCCUUGUUGGUUAAUUAAGCUGUGAAAUACUGUUAUGUUUGAUCAAUCUGUUACCUUGACCUCCUCUUCAAUGUGCCUCUUGAGCUCCUCAAUCUGCUGUGUGUAGGCUUGUUUGCUUCUUGUCAGCUGGGAAACAAGAGCUUCCUUCUCCUCUAACUGGCGACUCAAUUCACCUGAGUAAACCAAAGUAUUGUGAAUCUCCAUCAUAUUUUUAUUUCACAUUUUGAAAUCAAAAAUCUAUAUUUGAUAUAUGUACCAUUUUCAGUAUGAAGUCUUGCUUUGUGUGCGCUUGUGUCAUUCAGCUGGCGUAAAUGCUCAUCACUCUUGGUUUUCAGUUCACUCAGUUGAUCUUCAAGGGUACGGCACAUUUUCUCAAGGUUGCCCUGUUAGAAAAAAGUUUCUUUAGAACCCAUCAUGUUUGGUGAAAGAAACCAGACACGUCUGAAGUUAUGUGCGUAGACCUUCUCUUUACCUUUGAUUUAGCAACAGACUCCAUGUUACUGGAGAGGUCAUCAAUCUCCAUUUUGUAUUCACUCUUCUCCUUCUCCAGUUUCUGCUUGACGCGCUGAAGAUUGUCGAUUUGUUCUCCCAGCUCUGCCACGCUGUCGGCCUGCUUCUUGCGGAGGGCGGCAGCGGUGGCUUCAUGUUGCAGGGUGGACUCUUCAAGAUCACGGCGCAGCUUCUGGAACUCAGCUUCACGCUUCUUGUUCAUCUCAAUCUGAGCAGAUGUGGCACCACCUGCUUCUUCUAGCCUCUCACUGAUCUCCUCAAGUUCCCUGGAGAGAUCAGCCCUCUGCUUCUCAACCUUGGCCCGAGCAGCACGCUCAGCCUCGAUUUCUUCCUCCAACUCCUCAAUACGAGCCUGUGGCACACAAUAGAAAAACGGUUUAGGAUAUACAUGGAACUUUUUUCAAGUGCAAUACAUGGAAAUUGGAGGCUUUGACAGAGUACCUGGAGUUCUUUAAUCUUUUUCUGAAGCUGAGCACCCAAAGUUUGUUCAUCCUCAAUCUUGCUGAGAAGCUGGCUCGUCUCAAAGUCCUUCCUGUGGAGAGAACACCAUGAAAAAAUAAGAAUCUUUAUCAUUACAUUUUCAGUCUUUGUAUUGAUUUGAAUCCUCCCUUACUUCUUGAUCUUUUCAUCUGACUGCUGCUUGUCAUUCUCCAGAUCCAUUAUGGAUUCCUGCGCCAGUUUCAGAUCACCUUCAAGCUUUCUCUUGGCUCUCUCAAGGUCCAUGCGAAGCUUCUUCUCCUGUUCCAGAGAUCCUUCCAGCUAUUGUAGGGAAUACAGGUAAAAGAAAUCUGUUAAAAGCCAUAGGCAUUAUACAUAAUCUUCUUCUAGCCACUAUAUAAUAUUUUGGUUCUGAUUUUGGCUUCUGUUCCCAAGGUUUUACCUUUUGGUCAAGAGCCCUCAUGUUUUACUCACAUCAUCCACUUGCUGCUCAAGCUUGGUCUUUGCUUUGGUCAGAGUGUUGACUUUGUCCUCCUCUGCCUGGAGAUCAUCCAGGGUCUGCUGGUGUGCCUCUUGGAGGGCCUUCUUCUCUUUUGUCAACUUGGCAAUAGUCUCAUCCUGAGAGGCCAUCUCUUCAGUCAGGUUCUUCACCUAAAGGGAUUCAUGUCACAGCAUGUUAGGGAGAUGUCACAUCCCUGCAAAAACACAAACACACAAGCACUAUAUUGAUGAAGUGUGAACCUUGUUUUCUGUGGCAUGUUUCUCCUUCUCCACUUUGGCCAAGGUGAGCUCUAAGUCAUCAAUGUCUUUCUUCAGCUCAGAGCAUUCAUCCUCCAGUUUCCUCUUCUUGGCCGUGAGCUCAGCAUUGCUUUCCUCCUCAUCCUCCAGUCUCUCAUUUGUCUCUUUGAGUUUUGCUUCAAACUGGAUCUUCGCUUUGAUGAGUCCCUCACAUCUUUCCUCAGCAUCAGCAAGGCCCUCACUUUCCUUGAAUAAAUUCAACGUUUCAUUAAAUUCUUAAGCAGGAAGCAAUUUGUGAUAACUGUUAUGACAAUAGGUGAAUUACAUGGCCAACUUACAGAUGCGACAGCCAACUGCAGGUCAUUCUUUUCCUGCAGCAGAGAGACCAUUUUCUCCUCAAGCUCCUUCUUCUUGGCUAAUGCCUUUGCCAGAUCCUCUUUGCACUUAGUGAACUCUUCCUUCAUGUUGGACAUCUCCUUCUCAGCUUCAGCACUCUUGAGAAGUGGCUUGAUCUUGAAGUAGAGCUUCAUCCAUGGCCAGUGUUUCACAUUCAUGAAUGAGCGGAUGUUGUAUUGGAUGGAGUAAAUGGACUCUCUGUGUAAAACAUGGUCAAAGUAUUUCAGAAAAAUACUGCAGAAUUGUUUACUUGAAAUCAAGUAAUUGUUUGAUAAUUUAUGCAAAUAACAAAUAGCUAAUUGAAUGCAGAUACUGUUAUGUUUCAAUAUUAACAGAAAGUCAUGUAGUAGUACACACAAAUAUAAGAAAAGUAUUUUUACAUGAUGAACCCCCUGAAAUGGGUUCAAUGUUUUCUGCACCAUAACAUGUACCUCCUUUCCAUCAUUUUGACGAACUCUCUUCUCAUGAGGUAGCCACGGCAGAGGGCCUGAGUCAUGGUCACCAGCGUUGCCAGUUUCUCAUCACGCAUCUCCUCCAGGGUACCCAGCAGGCCAGCUUUGAAGAACACCUGGAGGAAAUCAUGUAAAUAUUCAGUGAAUAAUAAGGCAUAACGUACAUCAUAUGAUGAAGGAACAAGCUCAUAAAUUAACAGUAUAUACUAUGUGUGUGUGUGUAUGUGUGUGUGUGUGAGAUAUAAACUACAACUUGCCAUGCAUAUUCAAGAAUGUAUAACACCACAGGGUGUACUGUAUAUGCUCAGGCAUGGAGCAGUUGUUUUCUCUCAUACCAUCGCAAGGACAAGACUGAAACUAUUAUGCCUAACUCCCACUGCCACUUUUACUAUAUAUAAUUCCUCUGGUAAGGAUCAAUUACAUUUUAAGCUUAAGAACUCAUUAUCAUUUACAGAAAUGCAAUUCAGGCCCUUCAAUUAUCUUACCUUGGUGUGGCCAAACUUGUACUGAGUGUGGUCCACAUCAAUGGACCCCAGGAGCUUCUCAGAAGCUUUCUUGUUGUCAAUGAACUGUCCCUCAGGGAUGACACUGGCAUUCAAUACCUUGUAUCUAAAAGAAAAUACUGCCAUUUUUAACUGGAGACAUUGCUAUGAAGUGUGCUUGAUUGAUAGUCAGUCAUGGAUUAUUGUGGACAAUAACUACAUUACAUUAUAGCAACACUGUGGUCUAUAUACUCAUGUAUUAAAGAGGUGCAUAAGAUACCUCUGCUUGAAGUCACCAUAGAUGAUUCUGCUGGGGAAGCCCUUUCUGCAGAUUCUGAUGCCUUCCAGCACACCAUUACACCUCAGCUGGUGGAUAACCAAGAAGUUCUCCAUCAGACCUAGAAAACAAGAAAAUAUGUUUAUAAUUCAUAAAUCGUCAUAAUAUAUACAAUAAUAAUGUAAAUGCAAGAUACUGUGUCUAACAACACUACAGUGUAGUUACUGCUACAGGGAUUUCUACUAUUCUGUUUCUUGGAUUCCUUUUUGACAAGUUGAGCUUAUGGGGCCUUAAGUACAGUCCUUACCAGGUGUCUUUGAUUCAUUAGGAAUCAAGCAACGCACAAAGUGAGGAUGUGUGCUCCUCAGGUUGGUCAUCAGCUUGCCCAAGUUCUCCUGUGAGAGGGGAGGAGGCAAAAUAUAGAAAUGGGAAGCUGUACAACGCUUUGUUACAUUAAUUCAAUCAAUCUACUAUGUAAACAUCACAUGUACACAUUAUGGUAAUAUUACACAGACACAGAGAUAUCACUGCCAACUAUUCUUGGAUAACAGUAUAGUUUCACUUGCAUUCCUCCCUUACCCUGAAGAGAGCAGACACAGUCUGGAAGGAGCCACCCUUCUUCUUGCCAGCCUUUUUGCCCUUUGUAUCUGUUUGUACAUGACAAAUGAAACAGUUGGUUUUAAUACUAUUUUGAAGAAAAAUCAAGAAAAGUUCAGAAAAAUAACUUUUAGUUACCUGCUUGGAAACAGUUUUUCAUAAGGAACUAUGAUUUUUAUUUUCGCAUUUCCUAUGAAAUUGAGUGACUUUGCCAUUUUUUGAGAGAUUUAUUCUGAUCAACCUUUUUUUUUAGAUUGUGAUUUAAAAAUGAAGACUAUUUUAGUCAAAUCAAUCAGCACAGCCAUACCAUCAGAUCCUGCGUGGGUUGCAUACAGGAGACACAGCAGUUUGACUGAAGACUUCUGGUACAGCUGGACCACAGAGUCGUUCAGAGGGUCCUUGUUCUUGUCCAGCCAGCCGCUGAUGUUGUAGUCCACAGUGCCAGCAUAGUGCACCAGGGAGAAGUGGGCCUCAGCCUUUCCUUUGGCAGGUUUGGGCUUCUGGAACGCGUUGUUUUUGCCCAGAUGUUGGUCAUAGAGCUUGCUCUUGAAGGUUGUGUCAGAAGCCUUGGGGAACAUGCACUCCUCUUCAAGGAUGGAGAAGAUGCCCAUUGGCUGGUGAAGGCAGAAUUAUUUCCAUGAGGAGACAUUAGGGGUAAUGUUGUUGGACAUGUUGAUAAUGAAGGGCAUCUUACAUACCUUCUCAAUAAGCUCAAUGCAGGCAGCCAAGUCCAUACCGAAAUCAAUGAACUCCCAAUCAAUUCCCUCUUUCUUGUACUCUUCUUGUUCCAGCACAAACAUGUGGUGGUUGAAAAACUGUUGCAGUUUCUCAUUGGUGAAGUUGAUACACAGCUGCUCCAAGCUGUUGAACUACAUUUUUCAGACAAGAGACUAAAUAUUAAUAAAAAUGGACUGGAUUCAAACAGAAACAGGUAAAUGUUCCAAGUAUAUAUGUUUAAAAAAAAAAAGAGACAAUAAUAAUUAUUGGGAAGAUUAUCUUACGUCAAAGAUUUCAAAUCCAGCAAUAUCCAGGACACCAAUGAAGAACUGUCUUGGCUGCUUUGUGUCCAACAUCUCAUUGAUACGGAUGACCAUCCACAAGAACAUUUUCUCAUAGACAGAUUUGCACAGAGCAGAAACAGAAUUGUUGACCUAAAGACAAAUAGGAGAAAUAUGAAUAAAAUAUAUUACAAAUAUAUUCCUAAUAUAAGUAUAGUUACAUACAUUUCUUUUGAACAACUGAAUGGUUCAUAUCAAUACACAUAUUACUGUCGAUUUGUCAUUGUGACAUGAAACUUUGACAUACGGUACCUUACUGUGAGCAGCAAUUAAAAUUGCCUAACAUUACCUGUGGAACAGUCUGCCCCUUGGUCACAAACUCAUUUCCGACCUUCACUCUGGGGUAGCACAGAGCUUUCAGCACAUCAGCUGAGUUCAGGCCCAUGAGGUAAGCAAUCUUAUCAGCCACUGAAAUUAAAAGAAAAUAUUCAUUUUUCAUUGAUUGUUAUUUUAGUUGUACACAUGCAGCAGUAUGUAUAUUGCAUUCACAAAUAUGAAGAUUUUUCAUACUAAAACAAACGAAACUGUCCGCAAUACAGUCACCUCUGCAGUAUGCCUGCGAUGCCCAUGAGAUUUGAAAUAUGGUGUUAUUUGUGCUAUAGGUUUGUUGGAAUGUGGUAAUAUCGCACCCAAUAAACCGUUUUGCAACAUUGCAACAUUAUGCAACAUGGAGAGUAAUAACAAUGUUAAAUUUGAAUGAGGAUUGAAAAUCUGGUCAUUUGGAAUUAGCAAAACCUCUUGAGCUAAUUCAGUUAUUGUGAAAAAAUAUCACUACUGCGUUGGAAAUUGAUUGUAUUGGAAAUGCCCAAAGUUAGCGAAUGUGCUCCAUUAAAUUAGACUGAUAAUUGUGGCUAGGAAUUCGCACUCAUUCUUUGUGAUAGUGGUCUCUGUGUCAUUGGAUUAUUUCUGAAGGGCUGUGACCUUAAAACAUCUACUAUUUCAGUCUAAAAGUUACCCUCAGUGCCAUCAGGUUCAGCCUGCUCCUCGCGCUGUUUUUGCUUAAACUUCAUGUUCCCGUGAUGCAAACAAGCACCAGUCAGCUUGUAGAUGCCCAACUUCUCAUCAGCAUUGAAGCCCAAGAUAUCAAUGGCAGUCUAUGAAUCAACAAAAAAGUUUCAUGAGCUAAUAUAAAAUACCCAACUACAUAUACAUUUUACAGUUUAAAUACUCCAGUGUCCAUUAUAUACUUUUUUCAGAAGAAUCCCCCCCAACAACUUACAUCUGUGGCAAUGAACUCCUCCACGUCAUUAAUACUUUUGACAGUGAUUUCACCUUGGCUGAUCAUGGGGUAAUCAUAUGGGUUGGUGGUAAUGAGAAGACCCUCUGUAAUAAACAAGAAUCAGUUAUACUGAAAAUUGCAAGUGUUAUUCACAGAAUUAAUCUGUUGCAGAAUGACAGAUUUCACACCUAGCAGUUCAGGUUUGUGGCCUGUCAUAAGCUGGUAGAAGAUGUGGUAGCUGCGCUCAGCUGACAGCUGGAAUGUUACUCUUGACUUUUCCAGCAAAUCUGUGGGAAGAAAAUUGCAUUUUCAUAAAAAGGUUUUUACAGUAGAAUCCCUUGCUAAAUUGAUACAGUGUGUCAGGUAGAGACUUACAGGUUUCAAUAUCAGCAGAAGACAGUUUUCCUGUUGUCCCAAAGUGGAUUCUGAUGAACUUUCCCUGAAAAAUUAACAAAAUGAAAUUUUGGGAUUAAAUACCGCAUUAUUUCAGCACUGUUAAUGUAAGGAAGUUUGAACUUUAAAUAUAUCUUCAAACUUACAAAACGGGAGGAGUUGUCAUUCCUCACGGUCUUGGCAUUACCAUAAGCCUCCAGCAGGGGGUUUGCUGCAAUGAUUUGAUCCUCCAGUGAUCCCUACAGGAGACACCAGACACUUCAGAAAUGUGCUACAACAGUUAAUGUUCCCAAGAUAUUUGCACAUUUCUAGAGACUCCCUCUGACCUGCAUUUUGCUAGCAGAUUGCUCAGCUUUCUUUCCUCCAGCCACUGCAACUGUCGCAAAGUACUGGAUGACACGUUUUGUGUUCACAGUCUUCCCUGCACCGGAUUCUCCACUGUGGGUGAAAACAGAAGGCAUAAUGCAUAUUACCACACAGUGCUUUAAACAUACGGAGGCUAUACUCUGGACUGUACAUGCUAUUUGCCUCAAAGCAGCAGUAACACAUUGAGAUGAAAUUAUAAUUAAAAUAUAUCUAGAAUUUACAUUUUAUUAGAAAUCCUCUUAAAUGUCAUGUUUACAUUACAGAUGAAGCAUUUGUUUCAGCCAUUUUUCAUUUAAAAAAGGUUUGAUACGUACGUAAUCAGGACUGACUGGUUCUCACGAUCUGCAAGAAAAAAAAUAAAAAAUUUACCUCAGGGAAUGAAAGGAAGGGCAUGCACAUAAAAUCCUAAAAUUACUAAUUCAUUUACUGGCCUGAAGCAGACCUUCAAUGAUAAUAAUAAUUUGUUAUUUAGCUGUUUAUUAGAUUACAUUUAUUAGUUAAUGCAAGAUGUAUUCGUUAAUUAGACUAAGCAGGGGACAAUCUCCCCUGGAGCAAUGCAGGGUUAAGGGCAUUGCUGAACAGCUAUGGCCUAACAGCUGCGCGGAUCAUAUCGUGGCUACACCGGGGUUUCCUCCACUGUUCUGGGUCCCUGUCAUGUACCUUAGCCACGAGGCUAUAGGCUGCCGCCAAUUUAACCUUAUUCUGUUGAGUUCAUCGUAGUAUUAUAAUAUGUUGCUCAAACAACCCUCCUACAUAAGUACGUACCAGUGAGCAUGAACUGAUAGGCAUUGUCAGAGAUGGAGAAGAUGUGGGGUGGGGCCUCAAUUCUCUUUUUGCCUCUAUAUGCUGACACAACAACAGCAUCGUACACUGGGAGCCACUUGUAGGGAUUCACAGUGACGCAGAACAGCCCAGAGUAGGUCUGAAACAGUGACAGUAGAUACAUUAUGUGCAGGAACACAUUCAUGUCUUUGCAUUUUGUAAAUGUAUUAAAGGGUUUUAUAGGAAAACUCACGUAGAUCAUCCAUGCUGCAUAGCGCUCUUUGAGGUUAUACAGCACACAGGGCUCAUUGAGGUGGGUCAUCAUGGCCAUGUCCUCAAUCUUGUCGUAUUUGGGAGGAUUCAUUGGGUGGAUGUCAUCCUCCUUGACUGUUAUUUUCUGUGAAAUACAGUAACCACAGCAAUGUUUAAGUUCCUGGUACAAAAUGACUUCCAGCCAUUUAUUCUUAUUCUUAUAUAUUUUAUCGUAGCAGUACAUUGGAAUUACAGACUAAUAUAUCAAAUGGGGGGCUCUGAAUACAGAAGAAGCAUGCACAAUUACACCCCUUCAAAGCCUAUUUAUUUAAUUGCUGAUGCAAAAGUGCAGUUAAUCUGUCAAAAAACCAAAAAAAAAAACAUUUAGCAAAGGAGUAUGUCAAUUGCUAGAUACAGUACUGCAACAAUUAUUGUCAACAGUCAUUUGGGGGCAAAUGGGGAUAUCAAAACACAGUUUGCCUUCAAAGCUGAACAAUACAGGCCACUAAAAAGAGCAGAGUCAGCUGUGACCAAUAGAAGGCACACAGGUGCCCCUUGACCCUUUCAAAGUCAUAAAAUAUUAUUAUUAUAUAACCACUAAUAACAAUUAGUAUUAUUAGCUGCACGUACUUGAUGCCCUUCCAGAGUUUCAACGGUGGCUUUGCCCCCCUCUCUGCUAACGAGUUUCCCCUUGAGGUACAUCUCCUUGGGCUCAGCCACAAAGUAGGCUGUUUUAGCAUCAAAGGGUGUGUUCUGGGCCUCAAUUCUCUCCUUCUCAGGCUUCCGGAGGAAAACGGAUGCUGGCCCGAAGGCCGACAUCUCUGCAUCCGUACUCAUGAUGGCACUUCACUGAUGAAGAAAGUAAAAAGCGAUUAGCAAUCAUAUUAAAAAAAAAAAACAGUACUGGUGAUCAUAUUCUUGCAUGUCGAUGUUUCUACCAUCGGUUUUAAAAGUUCAGCUCUUACACUGACACAAAAAAAAAAAUGAAAUAGAAUUAUGCACACUUGAAAUUCAGAUAUUUUUAAACACCAAUGUGACAACACUGGAGCCUUUGAAAAUAGCUUGAAAGAUUUUAACAGUAAUGUUUAACAUUUCAAUAAAAAUAUUCUAAAUGAAUUUCAACUUAGUUUCAUUAUUCAUGGUAGAUUCAUAUUUAUAAAAAGAAUAAUAAUAAUAAUAAUAAUAAUAAUAAUAAUAAUAAUAAUUGAAAUAUCCGUGAUCAUUUUCCAAAUCGAAAUAAAAAAACAAUUGCUCAGCAAUAGAAAAUUACCAAGGAAAUAGGUGCCAGUAGUACACAAACACAAAAAGCCUUCAUGUUAAGUCAGAUGUACAUGAUGACCGUGUGUUUUAUCUCCCGACAGGUUUCACUCUAUACAGCUUCUGAAAGUAUGUUGUACAUGCCACAAUCUGUAUUUACCUCUUUUGAUGCCAAGAAAGACAGAUUGUUGACAAUGAUCUUCGGUGCUGAAAAGUAAAAAUAAAGAAAAAAAUAAAUGCGCGCCUGCGUACUCUCCCUACAUCGCCACAACCUGCGUGUUUUCAUUAUGUCUUUGGCAAAAAGCUUUGACCCACGUCCUCUUCCCAUCCUCCACCAUUACACCUUCUCACCAACAUCCGCCCCAGUCAUUAUUACAAGAUUCAUACUUGAAUUGACUAUAGACCUCAGUUACCUAGAAUUAUAUGACUAGUUUUUCAGCACAGUAAGCACAAUUUAUGUAUUAUUUUGAGUUUAGUAAAGACCUGUGGAAACAUGUUAAGUCAUUAUGUGUCAACGUUCAGCCUGGAUACUGAGUGUGAGAACAUGUAAUUAUGUGUUACUGUAUGUGAUAUGUUGAGUCUGAGAAUAUAUGGGUGCUGAGUUUCCUGACAGAACCUGCUUUUUUGCACAAGUGCUGACUUUCUCAUUGCAAUUCUCUGGAUACAAAAUAAAACUUUGCCUACUUUCCAACAAGAUCAGAACCACUUUUCACCAAUUUGUACAGAAGUGUGUGAUUGAUAAUGUGGAAUGGAAAUUAAGACACCUGGGAAAGUCUUGACACUACUGAAUUUACCUUCCAUUGUUGCUAUGUAACUAGCUACGUGGCAUUACACAUUUAACAUUACAAAAAGAAUGUUCCAUUCACAUAUCUUCAGAGCUUAGUAACUUUAUGUCUGAUUAAAUAACACCUCUUUGGCCUUCCAAUGAAACUCACUCACCUGUACUGGGUGCCAGUCAGUCCCUUGGAGAGUUAGAGCUGCAUCUUUUAUAGAGAGACUUGCCUUCAUUCAGCAGAACUAGCAACUCUGUAUAUGGUCAUGCCUAAUGUCUUCAGCAGCAUCGUGUGCCUCUAGCAUCAGCAAUGUUCAUUUUUAUAGUUAAGUCACAGAUAAUUUAAGCAGUAAAUGACACAUGGCGUUGAUUAUAAAAACAAAACAAAACACUGUUAUAAAAAGCUAAAAUACUUCAUACCAUGGAGCAACAAGAAACCCUUAGUGAAGAAAACCUCAUUUCAGUUGGGUAGGGAAAUGGAAUGUUAUGGAUAAAAUAUUUAUGUGUAGGCAGUUUUAUGAUCUGAGAAUUAAUUUUCAAUGUUCGGUUUUCUGAGGUGACACACUUUGAGACAAUUAUAUGGUCACAAAUUUAGAUCCCUGUUUUUAAUGUGUUCUGAUGCUGAACAUGAGCCCAGCUUAGUGGUGAAGCGAUUGCCAAAUGUCACCGGUAUACUGUUGCAGAUCUUCUGCAAGUCUUACAUAUUUACAAAUCCUUGAGUGUAAUUACAUCUCAGUGCAGCUAAGCUGAUUUCAGAAUGUUGAACAUACACACCCAAAAUAAGAUACUUUCCACUGAGACAAAUUAAUGUAUUAUUAUUUAUUUGUGAGUAGCGGGUAAAAUAAAAGUUUUUUUACUGUUUGUUUUAGGGGGAAAUAUAGUAUAUCCACAAUUAAAUACAUGAAAUUUAUUUUCCUUGCCCCUUUUUUCUUUUAUAUUAUUGUAUGAAAAUUACAGAACAAUUGUUGUCUGAGGCUAGUGGCUGCUUACUGCUCGAGUAAAGCAGAGUCAUAUAGCUGAAAAGGGUGGAUUUUGCAGAACUGCCAGAAGAAAUUUGGAGAACAGACUACCUGUAAUUGCAGUAAUUGUAAUUGGAUAUUUUAAGCUGAAUGUAUAGGAAAGUGGAUGCUAAAAUGAACAUUUAUAGAAUGUGAUAGAAAGUGGUUCUACUGUGGAACAAUGAGCAUUACCAGUACUGGCCUAAUUAAGAAACUUUUAUUUUUAUUUUUUAUUUAUUAUUAUUUUGUCUUUUUUUUUUUUCUUAUACAGAAGCAGGGUACAUGCUGGCAUGGCUGUGGACACCCAUUAAUAUAUUAAUAAAAUAAAAAUAAAUGGAAAUGAAACACACCAUGUCUAUCAUGGAUUUUAAAUUGGUUUUUGAUGUUUUGAAGUGGCUCUAAAAAUGAGAUGUUGUUAAAAGUCUCACUUCUCACAAUGGUUAAUUGCUUAUACAAUUUCAGUAUACAAUAUGUUAUGCUUGUACUGUUUCAGUUUCAUGAUUCAAGGUAAAAUGUGUGAACAUUAUAAUUAGCAUCACUAAGCAUUGCCUUUAAUGGUGUCUGAUGGUUUGUUCCAGUGAUGGUUUAUGCAUCAUUGUAAACAAACACAGUAUCUUGAUAUGUACAUUUGUAACAUAUUUCUCUGAAAACUUUCAUUGGAAGUUUAUCAAUAAUUAAGUACAAAACAUGAAACUGUGACGAAUUCUGUUAUAUGGAUUUCUUGCCUCCAAUUGCUUAUGAACAUUAUUGAAAUAGCCUCCAUUAUCCCGACAGAAACUCUAUUUUUCUUCAUUGUUACAGAUGACUGAAGGACCAGUUUCGUUGAAUCUGAAAAUCUAUGAAACUAAGUGUAAGUAGAGCCAUACUGUGUACUUUAUUUCUCUAUAUUUGAUGACAUUGUACACUGCUUUGUUGUAUUAUUAAUCAUAUUAAUAAAUGUGUACUCAUGCGAUCAAUACACAUUCAUAAAUGAAAAACAUAAGUUUUCCACAUACAGUGGGCAACAUAAUUACUGGCACCUUUGCAAAAAAAAAAGAAUAAUUAAUAAACAACAGAUUUACUCUCAUGUUUCAAUGUUUUAUUGAGUAAUGUCUUUUUUUUUGCUGCCAAAAUGAUUGUGGUUUAUUGUGAUUUGAUGUUCCAAGACCACUUUCAGUCCAGAAACAGCUCCAGUUUGCCUCUACAUGCACACAAUUACAUACUAACUCAAGAGAAAUUAAAAUGUGACAUAUUGUCUGAACAAGAACAAAAAGAUAUUGUUUAGUUCUUAAGCCUGAACAAACAAACUGAUGUUACAUAAUUAUUUGUCAAUUAAUGUCCAGACCCAUUCCCAAAUCAAAUUAAGUAAAAUACCAAGAGGUCCACAAACAUACAUACAGUACCAGAAAUGUCAACAGACAGCAAUCAUCUACUGGCAGUGCUUUAACAUGUAAGAGAUGUGUGCUGUUGAAUUGGCAGUAGUGGACAGGCCAUUUAAAUUCCAACAAGCAUGUAAGAAUGUGGGCUCAUAUAUUUAGUAUAUACUGUACUGUGCAAAAGUCUUAGGCACCUGUAUAACAUUCUGUACAGAUAAGAUUCUUUCAAAAAUAAUUCUUAUUAAAAUAAUAAGUUCCUAAAUAAAUGUACUAUACAUUUUACAUUACAUUUUAGUAAUUUGGCAGAAUAGUUAAAAACUGAAUCAAAUAUUUUUUGUGACCACCCUUUGGCAUUAAAACUGCAUCACUUCUCUGAGAUGGCCAACGCUGUCCUGCAGUUCUAUAAGACAAUCAGCAGGGAGGUUGUACCAAGCAUGUUGGAGAACUUGCCACAGUUCUUCUGCAGACUUUGGUUGGCUCCUUGCUUCUGAUCUCAGACAGCCUUGAUCAAGUUUUUUUGUAAAAAGUAGUCAAUUGCUUACAGUAAUAUAUUACUUUUUAAAUUAAAUACAAAA